rnacentral:misc_RNA from 1 species
GAUGAAGAACGUAGCGAAAUGCGAUAAGUAAUGUGAAUUGCAGAAUUCAGUGAAUCAUCGAAUCUUUGAACGCACCUUGCGCUCCUUGGUAUUCCGAGGAGCAUGCCUGUUUGAGUGUCAUUAAAUUCUCAACCAUUAUCAACUUUUGCUGAUAAUGGCUUGGAUGUGGGGGUCUAUUUUGCUGGCUUCUCAGAUAGUCAGCUCCCCUUAAAUGCAUUAGCCGGUGCCCCGCGUGGACUGUCUAUUGGUGUGAUAAUUAUCUACGCUAUGGACAUCUGCAAUCAUAUGGGUUUGCGCUGCUUCUAACAGUCUGUUGAUUCAGACAAUACAUGACAAUUUGACCUCAAAUCAGGUAGGAAUACCCGCUGAACUUAAGCAUAUCAAUAAGCGGAGGA